AACGCACCUUGCGCCUUUUGGUAUUCCGAAAGGCAUGCCUGUUUGAGUGUCAUGAAAUCUCAAUCCUCUCGGGUUUCUGAUCCGGGGUGGACUUGUACUUGGGCGUCUGCCGUUCUGACGGCUCGCCUCAAAUGGCUUAGCGGGAUCAGCAUCCACAGUCAGAUGUAAUAAGUUUCGUCUGGCUGGGUGGUGACGCCUGCUCACAACCCCCUCGCUUUGGCGUGGACAAUUUUUUUUUGGACUCUGACCUCAAAUCAGGUAGGGCUACCCGCUGAACUUAA
rnacentral:misc_RNA from 1 species